rnacentral:rRNA from 1 species
UACGGGGGGGGCAAGCGUUGUUCGGAAUUAUUGGGCGUAAAGAGCUCGUAGGCGGUUCGAUAAGUCGGGUGUGAAAACUUUGGGCUCAACCCAAAGCGUGCAUUCGAUACUGUUGUGACUAGAGUUCGGUAGGGGAGUGGGGAAUUCCUAGUGUAGCGGUGAAAUGCGCAGAUAUUAGGAGGAACACCGGUGGCGAAGGCGCCACUCUGGGCCGAAACUGACGCUGAGGAGCGAAAGCGUGGGUAGCAAACAGG